rnacentral:lncRNA from 1 species
GGGAUUGUUAUAGGAUAUUAUUAAUAGACAACCGAACAGUGGAAUACAAGAAGAGGCCGAACGGUGAGGGAGAAGAAGUGAGGAGCCGAACGAUUGAAUGUGGUGAAGCUAUCGAGCGAGGUCAAGCUGUGAAGAAGAAGGAGGACACCGAACAACUGAAGUCGAUAUUAUCGAACGGUGGAAGCACGAGAACCGAUCGGUUGAAGAGUUACAUAAUAUUAUUUAAUAGUCAGUUAAUUCUGUUAGUUAUAGAAUUAGCUAAAACUCUGUAAUCUUUCGCUAUAAAACAAUUGUAUUCUGUAAAUUCAAGGGAGGAAUGAAUAACAUCAGAAUUUUUCCACUCUUCUAAAUUUAUUCUCUUGUGUUCGUAUUCUUUUCUCUUAUCUAAAUUCCCUACUUCCUGGGUUUUUGUUCGAAGACUAUUGUCUUCCUAAAAGAAC